ACAUUGCUUUCUGUCAGUCAAUCAGGUGAGAACUACCAACACAUUGCUUUCUGUCAAUCAAUCACGAGAGAACUACGAACACAUUGCUUUCUGUCAAUCAAUCACGAGAGAACUACGAACACAUUGUUUUCUGUCAAUCAAUCAGGAGAGAACUACGAACACAUUGCUUUCUGUCAAUCAAUUACGAGAGAACUACGAACACAUUGCUUUCUGUCAAUCAAUCAGGAGAGAACUACGAACACAUUGCUUUCCAG
rnacentral:lncRNA from 1 species